rnacentral:rRNA from 1 species
UUGGCUCAGAAGCAGCCACCAUUUAAAGAGUGCGUAAUAGCUCACUGGUCGAGAGACGCUGCGCCGAAAAUGUCCGGGGCUCAAGCACGGAACCGAAGCUAUGGCAUGAUAGCAAUAUCAUGGGUAGGGGAGCGUUCUUAUAAGGAAGAAGCAUGACCGGAAGGACAUGUGGACAAAUAAGAAGUGAGAAUGCCGGUAUGAGUAUCGAAAAGAAAGGUGAGAAUCCUUUCCACCGAAAGCCCGAGGGUUCCUGAGCAACGAUCGUCGACUCAGGGUAAGUCGGGACCUAAGCCGAGGCGAGAAGCGUAGGCGAUGGACAACAGGUUGAAAUUCCUGUACCGGAUCAAGUCGAUCGAGCGAAGGAGCGACGCAGGAGGGCACAUGAUCGCGCGGCUGGAAGAGCGCGUCCAAGUGCGUAUGUUGCUGCAGAGGAAAACCCCUGCAGCUAAAAGCAGAGACAUGAAGGGGAGUUAAAGGAAACUUUGACGAACUCAUGGAUCCCACACUGCCAAGAAAAACUUCUAGCGAGACAAGAUCCGCCCGUACCGUAAACCGACACAGGUAGGCGGGGAGAGAAUCCUAAGGUGCGCGGGAAAACCCUCGUUAAGGAACUCGGCAAAUUGCAUCCGUAACCUAGGGAGAAGGAUGGCCCCCGGUCAGUGAAGAGCAGAAACGCUCAGAGCUAAAAGGGGCGGCAGAAAAGAGGCCCAAGCAACUGUUUACCAAAAACACAGGUGCCUGCGAAAGCGAAAGCUGAAGUAUAGGUGCUGACGCCUGCCCGGUGCCGGAAGGUUAAGGAGAGAAGUUAGCGAAAGCGAAGCAUCGAACUGAAGCCCCGGUGAACGGCGGCCGUAACUAUAACGGUCCUAAGGUAGCGAAAUUCCUUGUCGGGUAAGUUCCGACCCGCAUGAAAGGCGUAAUGAUUUGGGCACUGUCUCAACGAGGGGCCCGGUGAAAUUGAAAUACCUGUGAAGAUGCAGGUUACCCGCGACUGGACAGAAAGACCCCAUGGAGCUUCACUGCAGCUUGAGAUUGAAUCCCGGUGACAGAUGCACAGGAUAGGUGGGAGGCGCCGAAGCAUUGCCCUAGGGCGGUGCGGAGCCGAUGUUGGGAUACCACCCUUCUGUUGCUGAGAUUCUAACGCGAGGAGUAACGACCCUGCGGACCCUCUCAGGCAGGCGGUUUGACUGGGGCGGUCGCCUCCGAAAGAGUAACGGAGGCGCCCAAAGGUUCCCUCAGGCCGGACAGAAACCGGCCGAAGAGUGCAAAGGCAGAAGGGAGCUUGACUGCGAGACCCACAAGUCGAGCAGAGACGAAAGUCGGGCUUAGUGAUCCGGUGGUACUGAGUGGAAAGGCCAUCGCUCAACGGAUAAAAGCUACCCUGGGGAUAACAGGCUAAUCUCUCCCAAGAGUUCAUAUCGACGGGGAGGUUUGGCACCUCGAUGUCGGCUCAUCACAUCCUGGGGCUGGAGUAGGUCCCAAGGGUUGGGCUGUUCGCCCAUUAAAGUGGUACGCGAGCUGGGUUCAAAACGUCGUGAGACAGUUUGGUUCAUAUCCAUCGCGGGCGCAAGAAGUUUGAGAGGAGCUGCUCCUAGUACGAGAGGACCGGAGUGGACGGAUCAACGGUGUCCCAGUUGUCACGCCAGUGGCACGGCUGGAAAGCCGCAUCCGGGAAGGAUAAACGCUGAAAGCAUCUAAGCGCGAAGCCAACCUCAAGAUGAGACUUCUCAUCAGCAAUGAGUAAGACCCCUUACAGACGAUGAGGUAGAUAGGUUAUGAGUGGAAGAGCCGCAAGGCUUGGAGCGACAUAAAACUAAUAGGUCGAGGUCUUAACUUA